GUAUAAAAUCAAUUCAAACUGCCUAUGAAAAAUCUUUUUGUUAAAAUGAACAAGAUUAGGUACCGAAAGGGCACUAAUUGGUUAAUUAGUGUAAACAAGUCCCCGAACCUAGAUUCUCUGGUUGCGUAGGAAGUGAGGCACGCUCCCAUGCCUCACUUGGUUUCUAGCCGACCCCAAUGGGCUAGUGGCGACUCCUUUUAUGCAAAAUUUCUAAAGAAUAUUCCAAUGUCACGCGGGAUAUGGGCUUGGGAGAGCCCGCGCCUGAUCAUGGGCCUUAGUCCCGUCCUUUAGGCAAUACCCCUAAACCUGUUCCCUCCCCCCGAGGGUAGGUCGCGACAGCUUGGCGACUCCGUUGGGGAACGAACCCAGAAUCUCUGGUUUUGAACCUUAGAGGACUUAGGCCAGAAUUAAUUUUGUUCAAAAAAAUAUUUUUGUUUGGCAGCGAGGAUUUCAGGUUAGUCCCUAACAUUAAAGGUGUUAAUGUUUUUGUAGAAUGUGAGGUAUAAGGGGAAGUGUUUGCUCACCUUUGUCUUGUAGGGAGGUGUUGGAAUGUAUGGUUUAUUUUCUUAUGUACGGAGUGUUGAUUGCUUAUAAAUUGUCAUGCUUGCAUCCCCUGCAUUGCACUACACCAUAGCACACACAACCUGCCGCCGGACCUGGGCCGCAUAGGAUCACUUAGGAUGGUGUUGAGGUGGAUACCACUCCGACUACAACCGUGUAGUACGAGUCGCCCACCUUAACCCCGAAAUUUCUUUCUUCAUGUCAAAGGUACCCACCCCGGUCUGCAACCGCGCGACACGGGUCGGUUCUUUGACAAAGCCGGAGUCAUGGGUAACCCGACCUAGCCGCGACCUUGCUGGUUCAGUCCGGUGAUCCCAUGGCUUCAUUUUGAGCCGUCUAGAGUAGAAAUCGAACCACCGCCCAUGCACAUGUCUAUGGCAUUGCUACUCAAUGAAUAGGGUAAGGUUUUCAAUUUUCUUUUAUGUGCAAUUUAUUUAUCCGUUUUCUUUUUGGUCGGUCCAUGACAAAAUAGGUUUGUCGUAACUUUGGUUGGCAUACGAUGGGGGUACCCGAGCUUCACAUCUUUUCCGCCCCGAGGGCUGAGCUCCGCACGUGGUGGGAUGGACUGGAUCUGACUGGCCGUGAUUGGGUGCGAUCUUAUGUCGGACGAUUACUCCCCGUAUUAGAGAUAGAAACUCAUUAUGGUGUCGUGCGAGCGUUAGCGCAUUUUUGGUGCCCCGCAACUUGCACAUUCAUAUUCGGUGAUCACGAGCUUACUCCAACCUUGGAGGAAUACAGUAUUGCCAUUGGGAAGCCCUUAGCAUCGGAAUUGGUUAGCCCACCUGUAGGAAUUGAGCAUGCAUCGACCUUAUCUGAUUUUCUUAAAAUUAAAGAAGAUGAUGUGAGAAAAGUUUUGAAAGCCAAUCGCAAAACCUGCCCAUUUUCAUUUCUAAAUAAGCUUUUUCAAAAUGCUCCAUCUUUCCAAAAGAAUAAGAUAUUUCUGCUAGCUUUCUUCGGGUUCGUGAUAUUCCCACAUUGUAGAAAUGCUAUUAACCCUUCCGUAGCAUGGGUAGUUCGUGAAGUAUGUAUGGGAAAGAGUUUUGUUAAUGCUAUCUUGACUGAAACUUUUCUUUCCCUUACUCGUUUUAAAGAAAAUAAAGACAAAGUUUUCCAUGCUCCUCCUGCACUCUUGCAAAUUUAGUUUUUCUCUCACAUUAAGGGGUUCGGUAGCUUGAUGACUGUGAACGACAUUUCUGACUCUAGCCACCCCAUCCUAAAGUUUAGAGAUAGGAAAAAUUUUGCCCCUGAUUAUCAUUAUUCUGAGUGGCUAGUUUUCAUGACCAACCCUGGACCUGAGGAUUUCCAAUGACAUGCCAAAUGGCUUCGAGUUCAAGAAGCGCGGUUCGUGUGUGGGCUUACUGGACCUAUUCCUUUGUUGGGAAUCACCGGAGUCACCGAAUAUUACCCGACUCGAGUCACCCGUCAGUUUCAAGAGAUUCAACAGCUUCCGCCGGCAAUCCAGGAGGACCCGCUCAGGAUAGACUUCCCUGACGGAAGCCAAGACCACGAAGACUCCGUUGUGUUGGUCAAGUCGAUGUGGGAUAUGUGCCACCCCCGGAAGUUGAUCUGCCCUGAAGAGGAGUUGGAGGGGCAAGAGAAGACCUAUUAUGCCUUGAAGGAGUACAUUCUUAAACACAAGAUUCCAGAGAGCCUCCGCCCGAAGAUUCCUAAAGUGCCAUUGAAGAUCACCCACCAAGCCGAGAUCAAGCGCCUCAAGAGGGAGCUCCAGGAAGUCGAGGAGCGUGCUUCAAAGUUAACCCGAGUUAGUGGAGCUACCACAAGCGGAAGCCAUCCUCAUUAGUUAGAUUGAGUCGAGCGCAAUAUGUAGCGGGACCAUAUUCGCAUACGUUGCAAAAUUAUGGAGUUUGUCUCGAGUCUCGAUGUUGAAAAAUUGGGAGUUAGGAGAAUGUCUCUUCGUCUUUGAAAUAGCUUUGUUGUUUAAGGGUUUUCUUUUGAGUUUUUUCUUGUAUUAUGUAGCAACCGGGCUUUCAAUGAAACGAGCAAAUUGGGGCGAUUAGAUCUUUGUCGUGGACUGACCGCCUAAUUAUUUACUUGUACUUAUAUAUGCUUAUCUACUUUUGCUUCAGGUAUCAACCGAUCGAUUGUCUUCUACUGAUCGUCGACACGGUCAAGCGGAGAUCCCCAAUUCGCACGCGCGCAAAAGUCAGAAUGGAGAAUGAUGACACCAACGUGCGCAUGGCCAAGAUGGAGGACUAGCUGGCCCAACUCACCGCAAUGAUGCUUGAAAUAAGCCAGAAGCUUAAGGAGCCCCCCGCCGUAGCUGUCAUUGGAACAUCCACUCCGGCGUUAUCAGAACAUGCUUCCCCGUCGACGGGAGGCACGCACGAUGCUGAUCUCCCCGGGAAAGAAAUUGCUGGAGAAGGUCCUUCUGCCACGCCAAUCAUCGUCAAUUUAGAUCCUCCUCCGAAGGAAAACCCAACACCUCGCUUAAGUGACGAGAGUGAAAAACGUUUGGCAAAGAUGGAAGAGCGACUAUGUGUCUUGCAAGGUUAUGAGUUGAAAGGAGCUGAUAGGUUAUCUCCAUACACCAAGACGAGCUUUCCUGAGAAUUUCCAGGAGCCUGAGUUCACAAGAAAGUAUGACGGAACGGGAUGCCCAAGGACCCACCUUAGGUAUUACAUGAGAAAAAUGGCUCGCUAUGCUGACAACGUGCCAUUCCUCAUACACACAUUCCAAGAUAGUUUGGAAGGCAUUGCCCUGACGUGGUUCAUUGCGCUGGACAUUGAAGAAUUCACUAGUUGGGACGACUUAGCCAAUGAGUUCUUACAACAAUACCGGUUUAACACCGAGCUUGCCCCCACGAGGGAAGAGUUGACUCGCGUUGAGAAGAAGAGGAAUGAGUCAUUCAAGGCCUUCGCGCAAAGGUGGAGGACCAUGGCCUCACAAGUGAAGCCGGUCUUAAAUGAGAGGGAGAUGAAGCAGCUGUUCCUCAAGACUUUGCCCUCUGAAUACUUCCAAGGGUUAGUAUUCUCGGGUUGCCAAACAUUUUCACAGCUAGUUGAGGUAGGUGAAGGAGUUGAAUGGGCAAUGGAUGAGGGAAAGAUUUCAACCGGAGGCGCGAAGAAAUUCCCACCAAGAAAGGAUAAGGAGGCCGCAAUUGAAGUAGCACUUGUGCAAGAGCCCCAUUUCCCUCGGCCAACCGCAACACCCGCGCACAAGCCUACGAUGGUUCCAGGUAGUUCAUCACAAGCAUUCGAUAAUGGCAAGAGGCCGUUUCGAAAGGGGUUUUCUCCACUACCACGCCCGCUGUCAAAGUUAUUGCCCAUGCUUCUUGAAAAGAGGAUGGUCGCAAAGGAGGUGCCUAGAGAUAACCCCCCAAGGUUCGCCGGAUUCGAUAUAACCAAGACCUGUGAAUACCACAUGGGAGAAAUGGGGCAUGAUGUAGAUAAUUGUCACAUGCUAAGAUACAAAGUUCAACAGCUUCUAGACAAGAACAUAUUGACUUUCAGGGAAGCUCAGCCCAAUGUGCAACAGAAUCCUCUACCAAAUCAUGUAGGGGGAGUGAACUCAAUUUCCGAGGACACACGGGCGAGUCAGCAACCUCUAGUACUGGAUGCUUCCGAGUUGUAUGAAUCCCUAGUGCUAGCGGGAUACUAUGAAGGCCAGGAGGAUGUGACCCUAGAAGAGAGAUUGAACCGCGUCCGUAGGAUGAUAAUCAUGGGAGUAAUCAGACCCGGAGAAGAGGAAGAGAAGGUCGUAUCCGUGACAAUGCCAUCAUCAUUCCGCUCAUCUUUCUACAACUUUGCUGGUAUGUCUCGGGCGAGGAAGGCUAUGCAUGGAAUUUCGAAGACCCCAGCUUUAUACGAGGAAGGGUUGAUAGCUAUGAUUACCCCAAUGGUGAUUGAAUUGUCCGAUGAGGAGCUCGCAGGCGAUAUCGAGCUGGAAAUUGCUGAACCCACAGUGAUCGACCUUAUGGUCGAAGAGAUGUCAACAAUCGAAGUCACGGGAGGACACACAAUGCCGGUCACGAUUGAAUUGCCUCCCCAGGAAGAAGACGAAAUGGUAAUGCUGGAGUAUCCUCCCAAAUUCGAUUCCAAAGCUGUACCUUGGGGUUACGGAACCAAUGAGGUAGAUGCUGUCACGCGGUCAGGCCGCUGUUACGCACCUGAUAAGGGAAUAGAAAAGAAGGCUGUGACCGAGGAGGAGGCAAAGCAAUUUUUGGCUGUAGUAAAGUCUAGUGAGUUCAACGUGGUGGAUCAACUGCGGAAGUUGCCGGCUCAAAUCUCCCUCCUGGAAUUAUUCAAAUCUUCCGAGAAGCAUAGGGACAUCUUGCUAAAAGUCCUUAACGAGGUGCAUGUGCCAGAGUCAAUUGAUGAAGUCCAAUUGGAGGAGUUCAUUGGGGCCGUUCUAUUAAAAGACCAAAUUUCCUUUACUGAUGAAGAUCUCCCCCCCAAUGGUCCUAAUCAUACCAAAGCGCUACAUAUCUCGGUGAAACAUGAAAGCACUCUUGUUUGUAGAGUAUUGAUUGAUAACGGUUCGGCACUCAAUAUAUGCCCGUUGGCUACUCUCCACCGUCUUGGCAUUGAUCUUGGGAGAAUCCGUACUGGCAAGUCGACUGUGCGGGCUUUUGAUGGGAUGAAGAAGGAUGUGAUAGGGGAAAUUGAGCUUGAGCUGCUGAUUGGCCCUGUACUUUUCCAAGCCGUGUUCCAGGUAUUAGAUAUACCAAGUGCUUUUAAUUUUCUGCUAGGGAGACCGUGGAUCCACACAACAGGUGCGGUUGCCUCCAGCCUCCAUCAGAAAGUACGAUUUGUGGUGGACAACAGGCUUAUCACGGUCCAUGGAGAAUCCGACUUCAAGAUCUAUCACGAGACAGCCAUCCCCUAUGUGGAGCCAGAGUGUACCGAGGAAUCCAGCUUUCAAACCCUCGAGCUGGUAUCCAUGGUCCAUGUACCUGUAGGGUCCUUCACAAAGGCUCCUAAUUUGUCUAAGCCGGCCAUAGCUGCGGGAAAGAUUAUGUUGGCAAGUGGGUAUAAUCCUGGAGAGGGCCUUGGAUCACACGGUCAGGGUGUGCGAAAGCCCAUUGAAGCUCAUAAAAACUCGAAGAGGAGAGGCCUAGGAUAUGUUGAGGGGCGAGAAGGUCGUAGCGAGCAAGGUGGUCAUGGCAAUCGAGGGGGCCGUGGAAGGCAGAGAGGCCGGAAUGCCCGAGGAGGCCGAGGUGGGUAUAGAGAUUGGAGUGAACGUAUUGUCCAAACUGAGGAGGGUGAGGGCGAUCGAGGCCCGUUUCAUCCGUUGUUGGAAGAAACAUUUCCAGGACCUCCAAGGAUGUUAUUCGAGGAAGAGGGGGACAUUUAUGGUGUGAUUGAGCUAUUCGAGGAAGACGUCAUAUGUGCCAUCCUGGCAUGCGAGGAGGCUGAGUCCUCUGAAGUCAUGGUUGUCCCUUCAAAGUAGGGCGGUUCUCGUCUAGCCUAGUCUUUUGUCUUAUGUCUUCUCCCCUGCGUGGGAUCUCGUAGUUUUUCUUUCUUUAUUUCCUGUUUAUGUCAUUUGUAAUGUGAACUAUGGUCAACCCCGAUCUUGAGCCGUUGGUCGUGGGUGGUGUGUGUUUAAAUACGGCCUUAUCUUUUCUCAUUCAAUAAAAUAGACACAUGUUUUAUUAAGGACAUGUGGAGGCACAUCAAACUAGUCCUAUGAUGGUCACUGAGGCCUAGGUCUCCACAUGCUCCCUUAUUUGACUGCCUUGCAAGGAUAAGGAAAUCCGAGGAUAUGAGGAUGAGUUCUUGAAACUUUUACAAAAAAAAAAUACUUCAAAAAUUCUUCGAAAAACGACAUGCAUUAUUUUUAUGGUCGACAUUGCUCUAACUCAUUUUAUUGCAUCUCAGGCAUUACAUUAUGCAUAAUCAUAAUAAGGACGCAUAUGACUCGGACGUGCAUGAAGAAAGUCUCUCAGGUUCCGAUGACACUGACGAUGACGAUCAGAAGGGGAUUGAACGUGAAUGGAAUCGAUAUGAAGGAUCGAAGCCGUUGACCGAAGAGCGAACAAUCACAAUAAAUUUAGGUGACGUAGAGAAUGUCAGGGAAGUAAGGAUCGGGGCAUGUCUCUCAGAGUCAGAGGCGGAAAAGACGACUAAUCUUUUGAAAGAAUAUCAAGAUGUGUUCGCCUGGACAUAUGCCGAUAUGCCGGGAUUGGACCCCGAAAUUAUGGAACAUGCUCUACCAACAGAUCCUGAUAUGCCACCCAAGAAGCAAAGACUCAGGAGAACUAAACCAGAAUUGUCCAAGAAGAUCGAAGAAGAAGUAAUGAAGCUGCUGAAAAUAGAUUUUAUCGAAGUGACACGUUAUCCUAAUUGGGUAGCAAAUAUUGUGCCUGUAAUGAAGAAAGAUGGGCGAGUCAGGGUAUGUGUUGACUAUCGUGAUCUAAAUCGAGCAAGCUCGAAAGACGAUUUUCCACUCCCACAUAUCGAUGUCUUGGUUGACAGCACGGCAGGAUUUGAGUUACUCUCCUUCAUGGACAGUUUUUCCGGAUAUAAUCAAAUCCGUAUGAAGAAGGAGGAUAGGAGCAAAACAUCAUUCAUAACUCCUUGGGGAACUUUCUGCUACAAAGUGAUGCAUUUUGGUCUAAAGAAUGCGGGGGCAACGUAUCAAAGGGCCAUGGUCACGUUGUUUCAUGACAUGAUGCACAAGGAGGUCGAGGUAUACGUGGAUGAUAUGAUUGCAAAGUCAAGACGGGGUGAGGACCAUGUUGGAGUCUUGCAAAAGCUGUUCAAGUGUCUUCGGAAAUUCAAGCUGCGCAUUAAUCCCACAAAAUGCGUUUUUGGGACGAGAUCGGGGAAGCUGUUAGGGUUCAUGGUUAGUAACAAGGGCAUAGAGAUUGAUCCGUCAAAGGUUAAGGCUAUUUGUGAUUUACGAGCCCCGACCACCACCAAGGAGGUCCGCAGCUUGAUGGGGUGGCUCAAUUAUGUGGCGAGGUUCAUCUGUCAGUUGUCUGAAACAGCGAGGCCAUUCUUCAAGCUCUUGAAAAAGAACGCAAAGAUUGAGUGGGAUAUCGAGUGCCAGGGUGCCUUCGAGAAGAUAAAACACUAUCUCACUCACGCACCAGUCUUAAUACCCCCUCUCCUUAAAAUUCCCUUAAUUUUGUACUUGACCAUACAUGAUGAAUCGUUGGGAGCCAUGUUAGCACAUAAAAGACCAAAUGACGGGAGAGAAUGCGUGAUAUACUACUUGAGCAAGAAGUUUACUAUUUUCGAGAUGAACUACACAGAAGUUGAGAGAACUUGCGUGGCCUUGAUUUGGGUUUUGCACAGGCUGCGGCAAUAUACGCUCCAUCACCGAAUCCUGUUGGUGACCGAAAAUGAUCCCAUCAAAUACCUCCUGGAGAAGCCGGCACUGGUUGGCAAGUUGGCCAAGUAGCAAAUCUUAAUUUCAGAGUUUGACGUUCAGAGCCUGGGACAGAAAUCCGUUAAAGGUCGCGCCAUAGCAGACAUGUUGGCAGAAAGUCUCGAGAGGUCCAGGACAUCUGAUGAGGAUAGUGAUGCAGGGGAACAAAUUUUACUUGUAUCAAGUGACAAAUGGACAAUGUACUUCGAUGGUGCGGUUAAUUUAGCUGGGUCGGGUACCGGGGCGGUUCUUAUCUCCCCAGACGGUCAGCACUACCCUGUUGCCGCUAAAUUGGCGUUCCCUUGCACGAAUAAUAUUGCUGAAUAUGAAGCAUGCAUUCUCGGCCUCCAAGCUGCUAUUGAUAUGAAGAUCCGAAAGAUGCAAGUUUAUGGUGAUUCAGCCCUUAUAAUCUUACAGACUAAAGGCGAAUGGCAAACACAUGAUUCUAAAUUGAUUCCGUAUCAUGAGUUCCUGGGGAAGUUGACGGAAGAAUUUCAAGAAAUAGCAUUUGAAUACUUGCCAAGGUCUCAAAAUCAGUUUGCUGAUGCCCUAGCUACCUUGUCUUCAAUGUUACAAAUAGCUGGAGGCUUGGACAUUGAACCAUUAAGAAUUGAAAUCUUUAGGUGCCCAGCUUAUUGCAUGAUGAUUGAAGAAGAACCGGACGGACAGCCUUGGUAUCAUGACAUCUUGAAGUAUCUGCAGAAUGGUGAAUUUCCCGAAGGAAGUGAAGCAGCAGAUAGAAAGCAUUUAAUAAAGUUAGCAUCGAAAUUCUUCGCCAGUGGAGAUGUCAUCUACAAAAGGUCCUUCGACUCGACAUUGCUAAGGUGUGUCGACGCUAAAGAAGCCGACCGUUUGAUGAAGGAGAUACAUGAAAGGGAGUGUGGCCCCCAUAUGAAUGGACACUUCUUGGUAAGAAAAAUCAUGCGACUCGGUUAUUAUUGGCUAACCAUGGAGUCCGACUGCAUUCAGCACGUACGACGGUGUCACUAGUGCCAGAUUUAUGGGGAUAGGAUAAAUGCCCCUCCAAAUGAACUUCACCAAAUGUCUCAACCCUGGCCCUUUUCAAUGUGGGGAAUUGACGUGAUUGGGCCCAUUAACCCCAAAGCUUCAAAUGGGCAUCGAUUUAUCCUGGUGGCGAUAGACUAUUUUACCAAGUGGAUCGAGGCCAAUUCAUAUGUUAAUGUUACUGCCAAGAAUGUGGCGAAGUUCAUUCGUCGCGACAUUGUCGCUCGCUACGGGGUGCCGGAGGCGAUCAUUACCAACAAUGACACUAAUUUGAACAACAAAGUCGUAGAUGGAUUGUUUAGUGAGUUUCGAAUUAAGCAUUUGAACUCGUCACCGUAUCGUCCUCAGAUGAAUGGAGCAGUGGAGGCGGCGAACAAGAACAUAAAGAAAUCCUAUCGAAGACUGCCGAGAAUUAUCGUGAUUGGCACGAUAGACUCCCUUACGCGUUAAUGGCGUAUCGAACUUCUAUCCGCACCUCCACAGGGGCAACUCCUUUUUCACUCGUGUAUGGGAUGGAGGCAUUCUUACCUGUUGAAGUUGAGGUCCCUUCUCUAAGGGUUCUUUCCCAAUCUGUGCUCGAUGAGACUGAGUGGAUGCAACAGAGGCAUGAACAGUUAAACUUGAUUGAUGAGAAGAGAUUGCAAGCUGUGUGUCAUGGCCAAUGCUAUCAGAGACGAGUUGCAAAAGCCUUCAAUCGAAGGGUGCGUCCUAGAUACUUUGAAGUCAAUGACCUGGUGCUGAGGAAAGUGCUUCCGAUUAUACCAGACCCUCGUGGAAAAUUCACCCCGAACUAUGAAGGGCCGUAUGUCAUUAAAAAGAUUAUGCCUGGUGGUGCUAUGAUUUUAGUUGAAAUGGAUGGCAGUGAAUUGCCUAGACCUGUAAACUCAGAUGCAGUCAAGAAAUACUUUCCAUGAUUGAAAUCAAGGUCGAAGAACCACUUCAUGCGCAAUCUGAGUCACAUGGCAUCAUGCAUAGCAUCAUAGAUAUCAUACAUAUAUCACAUACACGCAUAUCUAUUUGUGUUUCAGGCACCUUACCGUUCGAUGAGGAAAAUGGCGGAGGGAAAAGUCGAUUCAAAAGACCCAUCAAGUCUCCGCACAAAUGGUUGAAUAUCUCUUUUUCUUAAAUGAGAGGUAAAAAAAAAUAAAAAAAAUCGGGGGGCAUAGCCUCAUUCCCACCACCUAUUUUCUGGUGCCACUAUACGCGCUUCAUGUCGGUAAUUCUCGAAGAGGGGAGCUUGUAAGAAUGAUGUUAUUCGGAUAAAAGUUGAAACAUUAAUCAUGCCAAACAAGGAGUGCUUAGGAUGAAGAAAGGUAAGUCAUUUCCAAACACAUCCUUCAAACACUUCCAAGAGUUGAGUGAAAAAUAACCUUCUCUUAGGACGAAGGAUCCAUUCGCAUUGAGCAUGAAGAUCGAAAUGAUAAAGGCAUUUCCUUCACCAAUCCCAAACGCCAAGCUGACAUAUUGCUAGCCCUUCAGGCCAAAUAGAGAUGAUCCUCCAAAAUACCCCUGUCGAGGACAACCCGAAAUUGGGGCAGCAUAGGAGGUUACAGUCGUGUUGUAAAGCAAAGGAUUGGGAAAGAUCCUAUUACUUUCACUUGAAUCAAUCUUCUGGUGAUAGCUUCAAAGGAAUUCUCAUUAGAUCUUGACUCAUCCCAAAGUGAAGAAGAGCAUUUCCUUCUCUACCCAAACACAUAUCCAUUGCUUUAACCAAUUUGGGCCUGAUUAUUCAUUUUUAAACCCCGAGUGGUGAUCAUCUCCCUUCACUGGGGCAAAGCAUGAGAAUUGACCAAAUACAAUUGAGAGUCAUGAGGAAAUGCGAAAAGCAUCUCGAAAGUCAUAAGAGCUCCAAAAGUUCAAAGAGCAAAAAGUUCGACAAAUUAGGGGGCAUAAAAAGUAGUGUGCCCGGUAAAAGCAAGGCCAAUACCCACAUAGAAAAAAAAAAGCCAAAAGGCUGCAUCUUAUGUGAAAAAAAAAAAAUUAUUAUCAAAGUCCCAGUGCCUGCAAAAAAAAAAAAAUCAUUGCAAGUGCAAAGAAAAUUAGAAAAAGCGGGCAAAGCUCCCAUGCAUAAAUGAUUAGUCAAUGGACUUUCGAGAUGCGUUAUAUUUCAAAAGCCAAAUGAUUUGGAAGGAUCAAGUGACCUGGUCACGAUGCCAUGAUGAUCAUCGACUCCUAAAGACCCUGUUGAAAGUUUUAAGCCUUUCGAGCCUCUCCCCAAGCCAACAUUACAACCCUCUUCCAAAGUCUCUUCUGAUUGGGAUGGUUUGAGUGAAAAUGAGAAUGCCACAAAGAAGCUACUGCUCGAAGGAGUGGAAGUAAUUCUAUCUUGUCUCAUCUCCCAAGCUCUCGACUUGUAAAGCCGAUGAAGAUAGUGACAAAUGUUCCUUUGUUGGCCUCAAAGUAAUAAUUUCUUUGUGUAAGCCCUAACCGAGCCUAUAUUGCGGUCCUUUCAAAAGACAUUUUUGAUCGAUUAGAUUGUGCUCAUUGCGAAUGUUUCUGGAAGCCUUCGACGUAGGUUAUGUGAGAUACCUUCAGCAACCAGUUAUCUCCCACAUGAAUGGAUGGGAUCAAGUAGCCAUUUUAUUGAGAGUGCGUGAGAAACCCUUUCUGACUAAGAAGCUUUAGUUUGGCAUGCUUAAUGAACCUUUUUCUCGAGUCGUAGCCGUUCUGAUAAGAACUUGUCUCCUAGAGAAUUUGAUGAUUAAUGAUAUAUCCAUGAGCAAGAUGACAAUUUUGCGUCGCAUGAGGUUGACGAGCAUCGAAUGUUUUCUAAAGCAGUCAGACUUAGCUUGAUUAUUUUGUUCAACUAUUGCUGCAAUUUGCCAAUACAUCUCUUGAUGACGUCUCUAAUGACAUUUGCUUAAGUUGAGUUUGACAGGAUUCAUCAGUGAAACCAUGCCAUCUCCAAAGGUUUAUGGUUAACCUUAAACCAUGUCAUUUCCAAGAUUGGUGGGUUCAUCCAUAAACCAUACUUGUCUGCCUCUUAAUCGAAAUCCGUUCGUACACGGUGAGACUAUCAUUCGAUCGAAACCCGUUCGUACACGGUGAAACCUACCUCUCAGUCGAAACCCGUUCGUACACGAUGAGACUAUUAUACCCAAUCAAAACUCGCUUUUACACGAUGAGACCUCGGUCAUUCCCCUUCUUCUCAUGACCCGGAGAGCUUUGUAUCCUGGAGUCUUCCCCCCUUCUUAUGACUCGAAGAGCUUUGUAUCCUGGAGUCUUCCUCACUUCUUGUGACCCGGAGAGCUUUGUAUCCUGGAGUCUUCCUCACUUCUUAUGACCCGGAGAGCUUUGUAUCCUGGAGUCUUUCUCACUUCUUAUGACCCGGAGAGCAUUGUAUCCUAUAGUCUUCCUCACUUCUUAUGACCCGGAGAGCCUUGUAUCCCGGAGUCUUCAUCACUUCUUAUGACCCGGAGAGCCUUGUAUCCUGGAGUCUUCCUCACUUCUUAUGACCCGGAGAGCUUUGUAUCCUGGAGUCUUCCACCUUUCUUAUGACCCGGAGAGCUUUUGUAUCCUGGAGUCUUUCACCCUUCUUAGGACCCGGAGAGCCUUGUAUCUUGGAGUCUUCCUCACUUCUUAUGACCCGGAGAGCCUUAUAUCUUGGAGUCUUCCUCACUUCUUAUGACCCGGAGAGCUUUGUAUCCUGGAGUCUUCCACCUUUCUUAUGACCCGGAGAGCUUUUGUAUCCUGGAGUCUUUCACCCUUCUUAGGACCCGGAGAGCCUUGUAUCUUGGAGUCUUCCUCACUUCUUAUGACCCGGAGAGCCUUAUAUCCUGGAGUCUUCCUCACCUCUUAUGACCCGGAGAGCCUUGUAUCCUGGAGUCUUCCUCACUUCUUAUGACCCGGAGAGUUUUGUAACCUGGAGUCUUCCUCACCUCUUAUGACCCGGAGAGCCUUGUAUCCUGGAGUCUUCAUCACUUUUUAUGAUUCGGUGGGCUUCUGCAGCCCGAAGUUUUUCUUCACCUUAUUGACAAGACGCAUUUUCAUAAUUAUGAGUCCUUUUCGUCGACCUAAUAUGUGCAUAUGCACCUAGGGUCUUCUAUCGCCAAAAAUAAUUUAGGUGUCGUCUGUCUUUGAUUGCAACCUCUUCGAGGCUACAUUCAAAGAGGGGCAGCUGUUGACACCUAGUUUUUUAUCUUUCAAAUAGUAUAAAAAAAAUCAAUCAAUCAAAAAAUCAAUCAGAAUCAAAAUCAAAAUCAAAUAAAAAAAUAAAAAUCAAAAAAAUUUUAGCUAUUAAUUUUCUAAAAAAAAAAAAAAGUUGUGAGGUCUAGGUCGGGCCGGAUCCGGCCUUGGCCCGACCCAGCCCCUUUUUCCUUUUAUUUUUUCCUGCGUGGGCCUAAGCCCAACCCUCCCAUUUACUUUUUCUUUUUCUUUUCUUCCCCUUCGCAUAGCCCAACCCUCUUUUUCCCUCUGGCCCGGCCCACCUCCUUGUCUUCUCCCUCAGCCGCCUACUGCACGGGGAACCAGCGAAGAGAAAGUAGCUGUCCGCUUGGGUAACUGGCGAAGCCGAAAGCAGGGCUGGAGAGGCAGAGGAGACAGCAUCAUCUCGCCGGCAGGUCAGCGGGUUGGGGGGAGCCGAUUCGGACGCACGCGGAGCUGAUUCGUGCGCACGCGAAGAGAAGCAGGGGGGAUCUGCACCAGAAAAAGGAGAGAAACAGGAGAAAAACAGAGGGAGAUAGAGAGAGAACAGGGGACUGAGCACAAAAAAAAACCAGAGAAAGAAAAAACGAGAGGGAAACACAGGGGAGGAGGAGUCGUGGUGGCAGCCCUCGCCGCGCCACCACUACCCCUUGCGACGCCUGUAGCCCGAAGCUGCGAUGCCGCCGCUGCCCUCUGAGCGUCGACCCAUAGUACCCAACGCUGCAGCUCCCGACACCAAGCGAGCAGAAGAGAAUCGGAGGGAGAGGCACAAACAGAGAGCAGAGAGAGGAGAGCGAGCUCGGGCGGAAGAAGACUCGCCGUCGCCGUUCGUGCCGUUCUUGCCGUCACCACCCGCUCUGCCGCGUCGGAACGCUGACCCCGAGCCACUACUGCCCGCGAUCCCAUCCGUGCCGUUGUCGCUGCCCAGGAGCCACGACGCUGCUGCAGCUUUAGCCUCAACCCGACGCCGUCCAAACUGAGCCGCCGCCCCCCCUGCCCGACGCCAUCCGAACCGGCACCGCCGACCCCUGCGCUCGUUGCCUUCGCCAGACCGCGCCGACUUGUGACUCGCUGCGCUCCGCCUGCAACCGCGAGGACCGCCGCGUCUCCGCCCCUACUCCGCCGCGCCUCCACCUGCAGAAUCCGCGAGCCCUGCAGCAGCUCGCCAUCGCCCACCGCGUCUCCGCUGUCACUCGCCGCGUCGCCACCGCCGUCAAGUCCGUCGCUGCCGUCAUCAGCGCCGCCAAGGAGCCGUAGGGCUUCGGCCAUGAACCGGGUCGCACGGAUCGGGCGCGGGUCGCGAAACAGGUAGGUUUUUCUUUUUUUAAACGAUUUUGGGCUUGUUUUGGGCUUGGUUUGUUUUUGCUUGCGAGCUUAAGGAUUUAAGAGAUUGUGGGUUUAGGGAGUUGUGGGCUUCAUUUUUUAAAAUAAAAGAGAUUGGACUAGAUUAGGCCCGCUGGUUGGGCCCAAUCCGAACUGAAGAAAGGCCCGACCAAGGCUAGUCGGGCCGGUUCGGCCGGCCCCCCCUCAUUUGAAUUGAACCCGGGUCCGGUCGGAGACCGACCCGAUCCGUGUUGACCGGGUCGGGUCGAACCGAACCCUUCCCGGUUCACCUUUUAAAAUAAAAUUUAAUUUAAAAUAUUAAAAAUAUUUUCUUUAAAAAAUAAAAAAUAAAAAAUAAAAAAAGUAAAAUAUAUAUAUAUAUAUAUAUCUAAAACAAUUUCGAAAAUCCAAAAAAUAUAUUUAAAAAUUAGAAAUUAGUUAUUUUUCUUUAAAAAAAAAAGUUUUUAAAAAUUUUUAAAAAUUUAAAAUUUAAAACAAUUUCGAAAAUCCAAAAAAUAUUUAAAAAUUAGAAAUUAGUUAUUAUUUUUUUUUUUAAGUUUUAAAAAAAAUUAAAAAAAUUAAAAAUUUCGAAAAUCAAAAAAUGAUGGGGUUUGGUUAGGACUUGCCAUGUAUUGCCAUUUUAGCGUAAUUAGACCUUUAUGUGCUCGUAUUUCGAUUAUGUUGCAUGUUUAAUUUGUAUAUCUAAUUAUGUUUGAUUGCAUGUGUUUAAUUUUAUGGCAAUUAGAAUCUUGAUAAUUAUGAUGUUUACUUUAAUGAUUGCGCACCCGCAUGAUCACCUCAUAUGUUAGUGGAUAAGUAUAAAAUCAAUUCAAACUGCCUAUGAAAAAUCUUUUUGUUAAAAUGAACAAGAUUAGGUACCGAAAGGGCACUAAUUGGUUAAUUAGUGUAAACAAAUCCCCGAACCUAGAUUCUCUGGUUGCGUAGGAAGUGAGGCACGCUCCCAUGCCUCACUUGGUUUCUAGCCGACCCCAAUAGGCUAGUGGCGACUCCUUUUAUGCAAAAU
rnacentral:lncRNA from 1 species